rnacentral:rRNA from 1 species
UACGAAGGGGGCGAGCGUUGUUCGGAAUCACUGGGCGUAAAGGGCGCGUAGGCGGCCCUCCUUGUCGCGUGUGAAAGCCCCGGGCUCAACCUGGGAACGGCGCGCGAGACGGGGGGGCUGGAGUUCGGGAGAGGAGCGUGGAAUUCCCAGUGUAGAGGUGAAAUUCGUAGAUAUUGGGAAGAACACCGGUGGCGAAGGCGGCUUCCUGGACCGACACUGACGCUGAGGCGCGAAAGCUAGGGGAGCAAACGGG